GAUGAAGAACGUAGCGAAAUGCGAUAAGUAAUGUGAAUUGCAGAAUUCAGUGAAUCAUCGAAUCUUUGAACGCACAUUGCGCCCCUUGGUAUUCCGAGGGGCAUGCCUGUUCGAGCGUCAUAUUAACCACUCCCGCUUGCGGGGUCUUGGGCUUCGCCUCCGGGCAGGCCUUAAAAUCAGUGGCGGUGCCGUCGGGCUCUACGCGUAGUAAAUUUUCUCGCGAUAGGGUCCCGGUGGAUGCUUGCCAACAACCCCCAACUUCUUAAGGUUGACCUCGGAUCAGGUAGGGAUACCCGCUGAACUUAAGCAUAUCAAUAAGCGGAGGA
rnacentral:misc_RNA from 1 species